rnacentral:rRNA from 1 species
UACGUAGGUGGCUAGCGUUAUCCGGAAUUACUGGGCGUAAAGGGUGCGUAGGUGGUUUCUUAAGUCAGAGGUGAAAGGCUACGGCUCAACCGUAGUAAGCCUUUGAAACUGGGGAACUUGAGUGCAGAAGAGGAGAGUGGAAUUCCUAGUGUAGCGGUGAAAUGCGUAGAUAUUAGGAGGAACACCAGUUGCGAAGGCGGCUCUCUGGACUGUAACUGACACUGAGGCACGAAAGCGUGGGGAGCAAACAGG